GACGAACGCUGGCGGCGUGCUUAACACAUGCAAGUCGAACGGAAAGGCCCUGCUUUUGUGGGGUGCUCGAGUGGCGAACGGGUGAGUAACACGUGAGUAACCUGCCCUUGACUUUGGGAUAACUUCAGGAAACUGGGGCUAAUACCGGAUAGGAGCUCCUGCUGCAUGGUGGGGGUUGGAAAGUUUCGGCGGUUGGGGAUGGACUCGCGGCUUAUCAGCUUGUUGGUGGGGUAGUGGCUUACCAAGGCUUUGACGGGUAGCCGGCCUGAGAGCGUGACCGGCCACAAUGGGACUGAGAUACGGAGCAGAAGGCUACGGGAGGCAGAAGUGGGGAACAUUGCACAACGGGGGGAAGCCUGAGGCAGCAACGCCGCGUGCGGGAUGACGGCUUUCGGGUUGUAAACCGCUUUCGCCUGUGACGAAGCGUGAGUGACGGUAAUGGGUAAAGAAGCAACGGCUAACUACGUG
rnacentral:rRNA from 1 species